UGUUGUUGACUCUGAAUAACUUAGCUGAUCGCAUGGUCUUGUACCGGCGACAUAUCUUUCAAGUAUCUGCCUUAUCAACUUUCGAUGGUAGUUUAUGUGCCUACCAUGGUUGCAACGGGUAACGGAAAAUAAGGGUUUGAUUCCGGAGAGGGAGCCUGAGAAACGGCUACCACAUCUAAGGAAGGCAGCAGGCGCGCAAAUUACCCACUGGAGGUGCUCCAAGGUAGUGACUAACAAUAACGAGACCGUCUUCUAUGAGGCCGGUUAUCGGAAUGGGUACAAUUUAAACCCUUUAACGAGGAUCUAUGAGAGGGCAAGUCUGGUGCCAGCAGCCGCGGUAAUUCCAGCUCUCAAGGUGUAUAUCCCUAUUGCUGCGGUUAAAAAGCUCGUAGUUGGAUCUCCGCCUCAGGACGUGGUCCGCCUUUAGGUGUGUACUGCGAUCCUAGGCAGUUACUGCUGGUUUUCAGCCGGUGGCCUUAACUGGUUGCCGGUUGUGGCUAGCGAGUUUACCUUGAGUAAAUCAGAUUGCUCAAGAAAGGCGUUUCGCCUGAAUGUUUGUGCAUGGAAUAAUGGAAUAGGACUUCGGUUCUGUUUUGUUGGUUUUCUGAACUGAAGUAAUGAUUAAGAGGAACAGACGGGGGCAUUCGUAUCGCUGCGUGAGAGGUGAAAUUCNUGGACCGCAGNGGGACGCCCAANAGCGAAAGCAUUUGCCAAGAAUGUCUUCAUUAAUCAAGAACGAAAGUCAGAGGUUCGAAGGCGAUUAGAUACCGCCCUAGUUCUGACCGUAAACUAUGCCAUCUAGCGAUCCGGUGGGGUUAUUCGCCUCGCCGGGGAGCUUCCCGGAAACGAAAGUCUUUCGGUUCCGGGGGUAGUAUGGUUGCAAAGCUGAAACUUAAAGAAAUUGACGGAAGGGCACCACCAGGAGUGGAGCCUGCGGCUUAAUUUGACUCAACACGGGAAAACUCACCCGGCCCGGACACCGUUAGGAUUGACAGAUUGAAAGCUCUUUCUCGAUUUGGUGGUUGGUGGUGCAUGGCCGUUCUUAGUUGGUGGAGCGAUUUGUCUGGUUUAUUCCGAUAACGAGCGAGACUCUAACCUACUAAAUAGUUUCACGAUUUUCGGGUCGUGUGAACUUCUUAGAGGGAUAAGCGGUGUUUAACCGCACGAGAUUGAGCGAUAACAGGUCUGUGAUGCCCUUAGAUGUCCGGGGCUGCACGCGCGCUACACUGGAAGGAUCAGCUGGUCGCCCAUUGCCGAAAGGUAAUGGUAAACCGUUGAAACCCUUCCGUGACCGGGAUAGGGAAUUGUAAUUAUUUCCCUUGAACGAGGAAUUCCUAGUAAGUGUGAGUCAUCAGCUCAC
rnacentral:rRNA from 1 species